rnacentral:rRNA from 1 species
CCUACGGGGGGCAGCAGUGAGGAAUAUUGGUCAAUGGACGAGAGUCUGAACCAGCCAAGUAGCGUGAAGGAUGACUGCCCUAUGGGUUGUAAACUUCUUUUAUAUGGGAAUAAAACAGGGUAUGCAUACCCUCUUGUAUGUACCAUAUGAAUAAGGAUCGGCUAACUCCGUGCCAGCAGCCGCGGUAAUACGGAGGAGCCGAGCGUUAUCCGGAUUGAUUGGGUUUAAAGGGAGCGUAGGUGGAUUGUUAAGUCAGUUGUUAAAGUUUGCGGCUCAACCGUAAAAUUGCAGUUGAAAAUGGCAGUCUUGAGUACAGUAGAGGUGGGCGGAAUUCGUGGUGUAGCGGUGAAAUGCUUAGAUAUCACGAAGAACUCCGAGUGCGAAGGCAGCCCACUGGACUGCAACUGACACUGAUGCUCGAAAGUGUGGGUAUCAAACAGGAUUAGAUACCCGAGUAGUC